UACGAACGCUGGCGGCGUGCUUAACACAUGCAAGUCGAACGGUAAGGCCUUCGGGUACACGAGUGGUGAACGGGUGAGUAACACGUGGGUGAUCUGCCCUGCACUUUGGGAUAAGCCUGGGAAACUGGGUCUAAUACCGAAUAGGACCACGCGCUUCAUGGUGUGUGGUGGAAAGCUUUUGCGGUGUGGGAUGGGCCCGGGGCCUAUCAGCUUGUUGGGGGGGUAAUGGCCUACCAAGGCGACGACGGGUAGCCGGCCUGAGAGGGUGACCGGCCACACUGGGACUGAGAUACGGCCCAGACUCCUACGGGAGGCAGCAGUGGGGAAUAUUGCACAAUGGGCGCAAGCCUGAUGCAGCGACGCCGCGUGAGGGAUGACGGCCUUCGGGUUGUAAACCUCUUUCAGUAGGGACGAAGCGCAAGUGACGGUACCUAUAGAAGAAGGACCGGCCAACUACGUGCCAGCAGCCGCCGUAA
rnacentral:rRNA from 1 species